AUGUGUAUAUAUGUGUGUAUAUAUCAUUGCAUAUGUGUGUAUAUAUAUAUACACACACACACAUACACACACACACACACACACACA
rnacentral:miRNA from 14 species